rnacentral:tRNA from 1 species
GGGGCGGUAGCUCAGCUGGUCAGAGCAGGGGACUCAUAAUCCUUGGGUCGCGGGUUCGAGCCCCGCCCGCCCCACCA